rnacentral:rRNA from 1 species
GAUGAACGCUGGCGGCGUGCCUAAUACAUGCAAGUCGAGCGAACGGACGAGAAGCUUGCUUCUCUGAUGUUAGCGGCGGACGGGUGAGUAACACGUGGAUAACCUACCUAUAAGACUGGGAUAACUUCGGGAAACCGGAGCUAAUACCGGAUGAUAUUUUGAACCGCAUGGUUCAAAAGUGAAAGACGGUCUUGCUGUCACUUAUAGAUGGAUCCGCGCUGCAUUAGCUAGUUGGUAAGGUAACGGCUUACCAAGGCAACGAUGCAUAGCCGACCUGAGAGGGGAGACGGCCCACCGGAACAGGAGCACCGGCCCAGAACCCACCGGGGGGCAGGGUUGGGGAACUUUCCGAAAUGGGCGAAAGCCUGACGGAGCAACGCCGGGUGGGUGAUGAAGUUUUUCGGAUCGUAAAACCUUUUUUUUAGGGAAGAAAAAUUUUGUAAGUAACUGGGACAAUUUGGACGGUACCAAAACAAAAAGCCCCGGCUAACUCCGU